rnacentral:ncRNA from 1 species
GCUGGAAAAAGCCAAACCUGCUGUGAAGCAGGGACGGAAAGCCACGGAUCUUCCCCGAAACGAAGACAGCCGGGUUACCCGA